rnacentral:lncRNA from 1 species
UGGGAACCUCCUAAAGUCCCCUCCAUGGGAAUCCCCCACACGUGGGAACCCUCCCCGGUGGGAACACUCCCCAGUGGGAACCCCCCCGUGGGAACCACCCCGUGGGAACCCCCUCGUGGGAACCUCCUGGGAUCCCCCCCAUGGGAACCCCCCAGCCGUGGGACUCCCCCCGGUGGGACCCUACCCAUUGCUGGGUGCAGCGCGCAGUUGCAUUGCGUGUUGCGUUGCGUGUUACAUUGCCUGUUUCAUUGCGUGUUGUGUUGCGUGUUGUGUGUUGCAUUGUGUGUCGCCUUGCGUGUCGCAUUGCUCUUUCAUGUUACGUUGCCUGUUGCCUUGCAUGUUACGCUGCGUGUUGCACUGCGUGUUUUGUGUUGCGUUCCCUGUUUCGUUGCAUGUUGCAUUGCGUGUUGCAUGUUGUGUUGUGUGUUGCCUUGCGUGUUGCCUUGCGUGUCGCAUUGCGUGUUUCAUGUUGCAUUGCCUGUUUCGUUGCAUGUUGCGUUGUAUUGCGUGUUGCAUUGUGUUGUGUUGCAUGUUGCUUUGCAUGUUGCAUUGUGUGUUACGUUGCAUGUUGCGUUGUGUGUUGCAUGUUGCCUUACCUGUUGCAUUGCGUAUCGCAUUGGUGUUUCAUGUUGCAUUGCAUGUUGCACUGUGUGUUGUAUGUUGCAUUGGGUGUUGCGUGUUGCAUUGCAUGUUGCAUGUUGCAUUACGUGUUGCAUUGCAUGUUGCGCUGCCUGUUGCGCUGCAUGUUGCGUGUUGCAUUAUGUGUUGCGUGUUGCGCUGCAUGUUGUAUUGCGUGUUGCAUUGCGUGUUGCAUUGCGUGUUGCAUGUUGUGCGGUGUGCUGCGUUGUGUGUUGUGCUGUGUGUUGCAUUACGUGUUGCAUUGCGUGUUGCGCUGCAUGUCGCAUUGCGUGUUUCAUGUUGCAUUACCUGUUGCAUGUUGCAUUGUGUUGCGUGGUGCAUUGCGUGGUGCACUGCGUGGUGCACUGCGUGUUGCGUUAUGUUGUGUGUUGCAUUGUGUGUUGCGGGUGGCGUUACGUGUUGCGCUGCGUGUUGCAUUGCGCGUUUCAUGUUGCGUUGCCUGCGUCAUUGCGUGUUGCAUGUUGCAUUUACACGCUGCAUUGCGUGUUGCGCUGCAUGCUGCGUUUUGUGCUGCACGUUGCAUCGCACGUUGUGUUGUGUUGCAUGUUGCGCUGCGUGUUGUGCUGUGCGUUGCAUUGCAUGUUGCAUUGUGUGCUGCACUGCGUGUUGCGCUGCGUGUUGCGCUGCGUGUUGCACUGCGUGUUGCGGGUUGCGGGCGGCGCCGCAGGUGGUGUCGGGCGGGCGCCUGGUGCAGGCGCAGCGGGUGCCGCNNNNNNNNNN